UGUGGGGAGGGCGAUACAAGUUCGAGGGGGGGGAGUUACCGUGGAGCACAGAGGGGAGAGGUUUGUGUGUGGGGAGUGGGAACGCUUUUUUCAAAUCUGCCUCAUCGGCUCAGUUCUUUUCAACUGCUACUCAGAUCGUCAACCAUGUCUUUACGGAUAGAAAUUGUGAAGUGUAUUAUGGCAUUAUAUCAGCAUGUGACUCAAUGGUGCAAAGAGGAAAUCUGUUGGUAGGAUGUGCAAACAGGAACAUGCUUUUCAUGGGAGCAAAAAUGUCAGUAAUGAACAAACAUGUGCAGAGACAGCACAGUUACCUUCGGCUUAAUGGUCCAAAGUUAUAGCCACACUGUUAAUCCCUUACCUUAACAUCUCUACCUCUUAACAAAUCCACUUAUUCUCCUUCUCAAGAUAAAAGGCAUGUUUUGUUGUACUUCAGUAAAACUUUUACACAAGAUAAUUCAAAUCCAUGUUGAAUUUUGGUUUUACACCAUACACAAACUCCAGCCUUCAUGGUUAUUUGGUUCCACCCAUUCUUGGCCCAGUCUCUCCCAACAUUCUUAUUCUGCAGUGCUUUGCUCUGCAUCUGUAUUAAUAAUGUCACUGUGGGGCUCCACAAGCUCCUCUGCUCCUGGUAAAAUAUGAUACUAGUCGUUUAACAGGCUGAGAGAACCAGAACAAGCUGAAUUAAAAAGUCACUUUUUGCUGAUGCUGCUGAAAAAGAAAACUAUUUACAGAAGAAAAACAUAAAUGCAGUUUUAAUUUUCCACUCAUUCAGAAUUAAAGCAUUAAACGCACAGUCUUACAUCAUUAAAAUAUCCUUCACUUGCAAUUUGGUGUGCAGUUUGAGUUGAAAAGACCCACUCUGAUGGGCUUUGUGAUGAUAAAUAUUUCAUCAUCAUCACCACACUUUAUAUCUCCUUAGUAGCUGCAGAGGGAAAGAGCCGUAACUCUAUAUGAUUACCGUCAGUAAACAUUAACAUUUAGUACUUUUCCCAUUAAGCAUUUAGUGUUUAUGAUCUCUGCCAGAGAGCCUUAAAUAUCCCCAUGCAACCACAGAUCUAAAUGUUUAUUUAUUAUUAGUCUCUUUAAAAUCUCCUCCACUUGCAAAAGUUUAAUCAGCAGCUGAGGCAGCAGAGUCAGCACUCCGGAAAAGAGCAACUCAAAUAAAUCUAAUUUACUUUUGUUCAUUAAAACUACAGCAACAAGUGACUGUAGAAAUCACACAGAUUUAAUCACAGCAGCUGAAGUUGUACUGAUGGGUGAGCUGGAGAUUAUGUAAUUGCCACUUACCUGUUUCAUUAAACAUAUCAUGUUGCAAAUGUUCACCCUGUCUGUCGGAUCUGUAUCCCUCAGAGUCAGCCCUGUCGCUGUUCUCUUUGUGCACAACACUCGAUUAUAUCAUUCAGGAGGCCAUAAAGUGUCAUUGCUGCUCAGUGCCCACAGGACACUGAGAUUCAGUCUGAACAAAACAAGAAGAAAAAGCUUUCAGCUAGCCUUCAGACCAGAGUGAAUUUUGCAGAAAUGCCCUGGGGGUGCAGAUAACAGAUUCACCCUCCUUUCAGCUUGUUGAGUUUCUACACCUGGAUGCUCUGCUUUUCUCUGCUUGAUAUUUUACUUUUUUAAGGUUACUCCAGGUGGAAAAUACUUUGAAAUAUACUCUACGUCACAUCACUACUGCAGCUUUUGCUGGUGCAGGAGGUCCCCUUUACUUUUAGUGGGAUGAAAUUAAGUCAGGAUAGAAUACAAUGUCAUUGGGCACUUAAAAAAACAGACAGACAUGAAUAACCUGUGUUGUAAUUUGGAAAAGGUCUCCCUAUCAAAAAGAGAUGGCUGCCCUUCAAUGAUACACAUCUAUAAUACUAGACACAUGAAGUCCUGGGGUAUCAAAGUCAGAGCACUUUGAUUGUAAACCGUUGAUGUUUGUAGCUUUUAAGUCUUUUAUGGAAUUUGCAGCUACUGACACUAUCAGCUUGAGUUCGAAACUAAGACAUGCUGUUGAUUUGGAGAGAGAGAUACAAGCAAAAGAGGCGCUCAGCUCUGAAACUGCAGCACACCAACUUAUUAAAUAUGAGUGAAAAUCCCUCCACCAUCUUCUGAGAUAACACCCUCUGUGCAGAAAGUAACUUUAUGAAUUCAACUUGGACUGUUUGUGUUUGAGCCUUUGGCAUCUUUUUUAAACAUGCAUUUAUUAAACAGUAUAGAUCAAACAAUGCAUCUUGCAUCUGACAAACAUUGGGAAAUAUUUGCAUCUUUACAGAGCACUAUAAAGGUCGCCAUGGAUAAGAAUUCAGCGUGAACAUGACAGAUACAUUUCAGGGUGUUUAAAGGUCAGAGUCUGAGAUCCCCAAAGUUUAACAUGUUCAGAUGCUUCCUGUUCUGUUUUACUGGAGACACAAAAUCUAUCUGAUGAAACAAUGAUGGACAGAAGAUCGAUUUGAAGUUUGAGCUCAAACCAAGAUAAUAGAACAUUUUUUUUUUUUUAUGAUUUCAUGUUUACUAUGACUGUAAGAGGAAAAUAAAAACUUCUGUAGGAUUUUAAAUGUUUUUCAUCAAAAAGGUUGAAUUUUUGCUACAGCAAAAAAAAAAAAGUUACAACUGGUGUAUUUUUUAUUUUAUUUUUUUUUAUCCCGAUAUUAUUUUGGGUCCAUGCAAGCUUUAAAAAAAUGUAGGUUUUUAUCGCAACUCCCAAUUUUGCCACAGGGUGUGUGUGCAGGGUAGAGCAUGACACGGGAGCAGAUUUUCACUCCUUUCCCGCUCCCGUUUGAAUAAAACCAAACAUUAGGUAAAAGUGCACUGCAUAUAAAAUGCAUUGCCUUUAAGUUUCAUAUGCCUGACAUUCGGUCAGUGUAAACAAAGUGCAACACACACACACACACACACACACACACACACACACACACACACACACACACACACACACACACACACACACACAUAUUCUCCACCUCCAACAUUGCAAAAGACAAUUGGGCAAUUCUGCACAAAACAGGUUAUCAGAGCUUAAAUAAUAAAUAUACACUAUAUCCACAAAAGUGGCAAAUAUUUACCAAAAAUGUAACAAGACAGUAUGAGAAGAGAAGAAUAAUAUAGAAUAGUAAAUAAAAUAUAGACUGAUAAUCUUACAUAGCAAAUCACACAAAUUUGAAAACACACUAAAGAAAAUGUGAUUGCUCUAUGAACAGAAAACACAAACUAAAACUACAACAUGACCUUUCCUGCCUUCCUUGAUGCAAAAUCAUAAAUAACGUCGUCAUAAGAAAUCUACUUCCCUAUUUACCCACUAAGACCUGAACCCUGUCUGAGACUCUGAAAUCCUGAGGGCCAUUUUGAGAAGGGCCCCCAGAUCCUGAGGUUUUCUUAACUGUUGAGGUUUAUAAAAAAGCUGCUAUCUCGGCCCCGGUAGCAGAUACAAACAAAUUCAAAAAGUAUUUGAGAGCUUACAGGUGUGGCUUUUAGGAAAGCUAUCUAUUAUUUUUCGGAACCUUCAUCACAAUUUUGAAAACAUUGAAGAAACAAAUUUAAAUGAAUUAAAGCGGCUGUAUAAAUAAAAGUAAAGACUCUGCACUGGAGAAUAAUAAACUAUUUGCUUUCUGUAAAACAAGUGGCAGUCAUGAUAAAGUGUCCAUUUAAUUCAAAUGUAAAUAUAAAAAAUAAAGUGUUGAAAGGGUGCCCUAGUAUAGUGCCUGUACAAAAGCAGCAAUUAAAACUAGAAAAUUGAAUAACUAAGUACGUGGCUGAAGUGUGUUGAUCUCUGUGCUCACCCAAAGUCAUGCAACACUCACAGAAAACGCCGAUAGUGUGAACCAAAGACCUCCAUAUGAAGACGUUGUUCACACUGCUGGCUGUUUCUCCUCCAAAGCUGCUCUCUGCCUCUUGAAGCACGUAGCAACAUCCGAGCAUGAAUCUGCACGCUUUAUUCGCCUACUAGAGGCGCACGGGUAUGGUGAUUUGAUUCGCCACGACUCCAGAAAUAAUUAAAAAGCUACAGAAUGUCACAAAAUGACAUAUCCGCGCUCCUGGCUAGAAGGGUAGAAAUACGCAGCCGCGCUCCCGGCUGACAGGAAGUCAAACCACUGUUGUAGUUCUUUUGUGUUGCUAGCACGGUCAAGAGUGUUGACUCUCACUGAGAGAUGACUACAAAAAUGGACGCAUCUGUUCAUCUGAUUGUUUAACACGGCUGAAAAUGAUCAUCUAUUAAUAUUGUUCCCGCUCCUGCCUGCUCCCGUUGCUUUUUUUCCCCCGUCCCGUCACGAUCACAGGAUUAAUUAAAAAAUGACUCCCAUCCCGUGGGAUUCCUGCAGGAAUCGCGUGACCCACGGGAAUUCACGAAAAAUGUCAUCCUCUAAUGCAGGGCCAUGCAGUCAGACAGGCUCAAUGUAUGUAUAUUUGGCCUGAACAUUUAUUAAUUGACAACACACACACACACACGCACACACACACACACACACACACACACACACACACACAGUCCUACCUCGCCAUCAGGUAACUUUUAUUCUAUACUGAUCCAGAUAGUCCAAAAAAUGUCUUCCCUUACCAGUAGGAAGACAGUUAAUGGUGGUACUUUACAAUCGGACACCAUCAGGUCCUGUGUUCCCUGAUCGGUCCCCUGUGAAGGAACACACAACAUAACUGAAGUGCCCUGGUUGACAUGUGUUCAAGUGUGUAUGGUUUUGAACCGUUCAGUAGUUCGACUGUUGUCACUUAAUAGCUCUUCUACGCACAGAGUAAAGAGGUCCUUCCUCCUGAGGGCCAUCGGACUGCACAACAAUGUUCUGGGUGGAGGAGCAGAGACCAUGAGGGAGGACAGGGUUAUAGCAGCACAACAAAUACACACCUGAACGUCACCCAGAACACACUGAGCAUUUUGAGAACGUCUGCCUGCUCUAUUUAGCUAUCGAUUCAUUUCAGUGUGCAUGUUCAAGUUUUAUUGUGAUGUUUUCUAUAUUGUUCUUUUAUAAUUUAAUAAUUUAAAAUGUACUUUUCAGUUCUCACUUUUUUUUUUCUUCUCACACAGACCCUCCCCACAAACCCAGCGUCUCCUCUGCAAACACCUCCUGUGGAUGACCACUUUACAGCGCACACAGUCAAAUGUGGAAAUGAGUUUAAGCUUUUUGAGGAUGUAGAGCGCCACCACUGGGACAGGGUUUUUAUUUUUCAUUUUGUUUGUUUCUGCUUUGUAAAAUCACUUCCCCUCAUUCUCACUGACCUUACUUUCCUCACAGGGAGGAUUAUCACGAGAUGAUGCCCCACACCCAAAGUAAAUGGAGGUUUUCUUUUAGUGAGCAGAAAACGCAUGACUGUGUUUGUGUUUCAGGGAAGGGAACAGCUUAAUUAAAGCUCAUUUUAUGGUAGUACAAACUUAUUAAAGCAUCUCCUGUUAAUUAGGAGUCAUUUCCAGGUCAGGGAAGAGUGUGCUACAGUUUCAGCUGAAGUAGAGCGUCCUCAGUUUUGGGAUUUCAGUCUGUGUGCACAGUCAGGUUUUCAUCUUGAGCAGUAGAAGCCUGUCAAAGCAGAUCUGGUUUUCCUGCAGUGUCCGAUCCUCUGCCAUGGAAAAGGCUGUAGGAUUUCUGUUCCAACCAGCCGCUGAGUCCACUAAUUAGACACCUCCUGCUUUGAUUGAAGGUAAUUAGAGAAACCAGAUUCUGCUGUAUUUACUUUUGAUGAAACCCUGCAAACAGUUUGGCAGGGAAAGACUGGAGAGCAGCAGUUAAACUCUAAAGCCCAAUAAUCAGCGUCUGGGACAUUUGAUGAAAAAACAAGUCCUAGUUUAGUACAUUGAAGGUUUGCUGGGACGUCAUCAAUUUUUUUUUUACUCAUACUGAGUAUUUGCAGAUAUUUAAGAGGUAUAUCACCAAAAAACAUUAAAGCAGUGAUUUAAGGAGUCCUCCCUCCUGCUUAGCAUUUCCCCAUCACCAUGUUAGAGUCGGUCUGUGAGAUGUGUGUCCGAUAUCAUCUUGAAAUUAACCAGAAAUGUAAACCAAGCAGCAGACUGUGAAUUUUUAUGUCAGUAUGGUGAGUGUUGGGCAUAUACAAUCAGAAAUGACAUAAGCUCUGUCAUCCAUAUGCAGGUAAGCAUGAAGGUUGUAGUUGAAGUACCACCACUUCUAUUAACCUGACAAACCUUGGGAGAUGAGGAGGAAAGAGUUGAGUGAAUGAUCCUCUACUUUGACCAGAUAAUCAUAAAACAUACUGGGUUACAUCUUUAUAUCAAAAAUCCCUCUGGUGUGCAGCUGCUGUGAGUUGCGUGGCAGACACUUGAAUGCAUCAAAAUGUCAACAUAUUUGUAGAAAAUGGCGGCAUGUCUGAUUCCUUUGUGAAAUUAGGGAAAUAAGUUUGUACUCAUGCUUGCAAGGUCACCAAAGGAUCAGUUUGUAGGGUCUUGAAACUAUAGUGCGUAACUUUUAUCCCCCCCUAGUGGAUUUCUGUGUUAUUACAAUGAUACAGUCUGCACCUCAAAAUGACGUAUGCACAUCAUACACAGAAACACUCACCAGACACAGCAUACUGUUCGUCACGGUAAACAGAGAAACACUGGCGACAAAAUGUCACAGCACACAGACUCCCAGCAGUAAGUUACACACAGCAACACGGGCUACACACCUUGUAACUUAAUGCUCGUUAGGCUAACGUUACACAAUGUGGUGAACACCAGACUGCUAACAAUCCAUUACAUUCAUAACACCAUUUCCAAGAAAAUAAAGUACUCAGUCCAGUACAUGUAACAGUAAUAUUCUGCUCCUAAUGAACAGAGUCAUUCACUUAUCCAGCAGUAUCAAGGCAACAUCAGUGUCGGACCUCAGUCCAAUCUCCUCCUUAAGGGCUCUCCAUCAAGGAAAAGCGACGCCGAUGUAAAUCCACGUUAGUCUUUGUCACUCUGUUUCUUCACCAACAGACCGUCUCCUGAAAGGGAGGGCUUUUUUUAUUUUAUUUUAUUUUAUUUUUAGUAGGAUUCACAUCUGAACCUCUUGGUUGCUUCUUUGGGUUCUCUGCCAUGUUGCGACUAGCAGCGCUCUCCUCUCCACUCCCAUCUCGUAGUCAGGUAAAACCAAGUAGAACGCGUCAUUUCCUCUGCGCCAGUGUGGGAAUGUUGAUGUCGAUGCCCCUGACACCAAAUACAAAAUGAACAAAUACUAAAAAAUACUGCCAGGUGUUACGCCCCAGUCUAGGGGUGCCUAGGGCACAACAUGAAAAGGCCUCAUCAUCCCCAAGUCCCAAGUAGCCACAACAACCGAGAUCCAGUUAAAGUUAAAGAUAGAGAUUUAUUUACAUAAUUCAGGGAAUAACAAAAGAUAGACAAAAGAACUAAGGCUGGAUAACUAGACUUCAGGGUGGACCAAGGCCAAAACAACAACCAAAAAUAAUCCUGUCUGAGUAGUAAGUCCUUCCCUAACCAAAACAAAGGAAACAAAUGACAAAAGACUUACCUCCCUAACUAAAAUACACAGGAGAAAAUAAUGUUAACAAAACUGGCAGUCCACCCCUACUACUGAAGGAAAACAGAACACAAUACACCAUAGUCUUUAAGCUGCAAAAUAGGGUGGCCGGUUGGGAGAGGAGGAGGAUGAGGAACGCCUGGCCUCUGCACAUGGUGGCUGCCAUCUUGGUUCUUGAUAUAGUUGGUCUCGGCCAAUCACCAUACAGGGCGUAGUCCAUCCCACCAAUGACCGCGUUGCUGUGGCACACACCUAUUUGCAUACAAGAUUGACGCAGAGAAAACACAGAGCACACACACACCCAGCAGACACUCAACCAAUUAUGACCCCAGUCAUAACACCCCCACACCCAAGAAUUAAACAUCCCCCUAAAUGUUUAAUUUCUACGGAUCUGAGGAACACCGCGACAAAGCGUCUGCUAUUACAUUUUCUAUGAGGAGUUUCACGCACGGCAAAUAACAGAAGAACGAGACCCUCAUCCCACUCUCUGUAGGACUCAAGGCAGUAUUUGAGCAUCAUGGAUUUUAACCCAGGCCAAAAGAAAUUGCGCAACACACGAUGAUAUGUCUUUUUAACACCGAGGUGGCCAGCUAAGCUGGAGUCAUGUGCCAGACUCAAAAUUUGCGCUCGAUAGUCUGUUGGCACAACCACCUGAUUAACAACGGGUAUCUCCCUGGAGUCGGGACUCCACCGUCUCAUCAAGACACCGUUGUCCAAGAAAAACACACAAGUCUGGCUGUCGUCCUCGGCGGCUACAACAGAGGACAGACACAAAUGUAGAGACGGAUCAUUUCUCUGAGCAUUUAUCAACAUCUCUCGGGUCACGUUUAAACUCAAGUCUGCGUCAGCAGGAAACACAUCAGGCUCAGAGACACAUUUUGAUACAUUUUCACACUCAGUAGCGGGGGACACUGAAAAGGAGGGCUCACCCUCAUCUAAUGUAGCCAUAAACGAGUCAGAUAAAUCCCCAGCUUUACCCCAUUUACGAGCCUGUGCGCGCGUAACUGCGCACACAGGAAACACAUCUGGCACAGACACAGCAGAAGAAACAGAGGUGGGGCAGCAGGCAGACGCAACCGAAAUGGGAUCGUUAACGACCUCUGGCAGAGGAAACACAUUUCCUCCGGCCAGAUCGUUACCCAAAAUAAACGAAAUGCCACUAAUCGGAAACCGUGGGAGCACGGCAACUUUCACACGCCCCGACGCGAGCGGUGAAUACAAGUGAAUCAUGUGAAGUGGGGCGUUAAGUUCGCUCAUUUUAAUUCCCCACACUAACAAAUCAGAGAAACAUGAAGUUUCAUUUGAGAGUGGCAGAACACUAGCCAGAAUGAAUGAAUGAUAGGCGGCUGUAUCUCGGAGAAUAGUUACCGGUACUUUAUCCGCUUCCUCGCCAGUUACAGAAACAAAUCCUUGUGAAACGAACGGUUUGAAACGAGGGUCAACCUCCACAUUUACCUCGGCUUCAGGUAAAGACUCCGGGAGUGUUACAGGCGGGGACACGGUGUUAAUGAAACCCACACCUGCAGGAGGUUUACCGUUUUUGUGUUGUCCUUUUUUCCUAAGAGUCGGACAUGCAGCGAUCAAAUGGCCUGGCUCGUGGCAAUAAAAACACUUGCGGCUCUCACCCGCAGCUGGUGAGGUGCUUUUACGCAUCAGCUUUGGCGAUCGGUUUCUGCGCUCAGAUAUUGGAUGUAAAACACGAGGGGUUGGCAAAGAAAAAACGCUUUUAUGAGUCAAAAUGAACUCAUCGGCGAGCACAGCUGCUUUCGUUACCGAUGACUCCUUUUGCUCAUUCAAAUAUACGACAAUUCGCUCCGGCAAACACUUUUUAAAUUCCUCGAGCAAAAUGAGCUCUCUCAUUUCCGCCAUAGUUUUAAUAUUACACGCGUGGCACCAUUUAUCAAACAGAACGCUCUUGUCACGCACAAAUUCAACAUAGGUCUGGUUGGAAGUUUUCACACUAUUUCUAAAUUUUUGCCGAUAGGCUUCAGGGACCAGCUCGUAGGCCUGCAACACAGUCUUUUUCAAGACAUUAUAAUCCAGACUAUCCUCAAUGGACAGACUGGCACAGACUUCUUGAGCUUUCCCCACUAAUUUACACUGGAGGAGAAGGGACCAGAACUCUUUAGGCCAACUCAGGGCAGCAGCUAUCCGCUCGAAAGCGCUAAAAUACGAGUCCACCUCGGACUCACGAAACGGAGGGACUAAAGCAAUGUGCUUACUUAUGUCAAAAGCGGGAGCAGAAACAGAGCUGCGGUCAACAGGAGGCACUGGGGUAGAGGCUGCAAAGGCUCCUUUUUCCAGCUCGAGAACCCUUAAGCGUAGAUGCAAGUUUCGGGUCUCGGCCUCCUUUGCUUGUACCUCUAGCUGUUUGUUUCGGGUCUCUGCCUCCUUUAUUUGGAGUGCUAUGCGGAGAUCCUCUGUGGUCAUGGUACCCAUGAGAGGAUCCGUGACCGGCCCAAGUUCCGCACCAGCAGCGAGCGUGCCAGCAGCCCCCGCCGCUUUCACCUCAGCCCCCGGUGCGACACUAGCCACAUCACCCGCAGCAACCGCAUCAAGCGCUGGUUUAGGUAAGACGCCCUGCUCCACCAACUGUGCACACAGCAACUGUUUGAGCUCUGCUUUGUUGACAUUGUAUGGUACUUUUACAUUAAAGAAAUUUGCCACAAUCAACAGGUCUGCUUUUUUACACUUUUCAAUUUUAGCAACAGAGGGACUGGCCAUAAAAUCAUCCAGUGAAAAAUCCAUAAUUCCCCCCACACACAAAAAAAAAACUACCAACCAGAAAAAUACAUACUCACCGAAGAAAACGCGACAAGAAGACGGACGAGCCCCCAAUUCAUGUUACGCCCCAGUCUAGGGGUGCCUAGGGCACAACAUGAAAAGGCCUCAUCAUCCCCAAGUCCCAAGUAGCCACAACAACCGAGAUCCAGUUAAAGUUAAAGAUAGAGAUUUAUUUACAUAAUUCAGGAAAUAACAAAAGAUAGACAAAAGAACUAAGGCUGGAUAACUAGACUUCAGGGUGGACCAAGGCCAAAACAACAACCAAAAAUAAUCCUGUCUGAGUAGUAAGUCCUUCCCUAACCAAAACAAAGGAAACAAAUGACAAAAGACUUACCUCCCUAACUAAAAUACACAGGAGAAAAUAAUGUUAACAAAACUGGCAGUCCACCCCUACUACUGAAGGAAAACAGAACACAAUACACCAUAGUCUUUAAGCUGCAAAAUAGGGUGGCCGGUUGGGAGAGGAGGAGGAUGAGGAACGCCUGGCCUCUGCACAUGGUGGCUGCCAUCUUGGUUCUUGAUAUAGUUGGUCUCGGCCAAUCACCAUACAGGGCGUAGUCCAUCCCACCAAUGACCGCGUUGCUGUGGCACACACCUAUUUGCAUACAAGAUUGACGCAGAGAAAACACAGAGCACACACACACCCAGCAGACACUCAACCAAUUAUGACCCCAGUCAUAACACAGGUGUUAGAGGAGCCAAACAGUAUCAUCUCCUCUUGUAGUGGCUUGGGUGAAACGGACAUUUACAGACACAUAGAUCUUACGCACUUACGCAUCUUAUGCAAUCAUUUAGCGUGUUUGCCUUCAUGAAUAUGCAGAAGUUAUGUAAAUGACUGGUAAUUUCUGGGAAAUGACGGUUUUCAUAAAAAAAAAGGUCAAACACAAAACAGAUGAAAAAAAUUAUCUGUCCGUGUUAUUGAUUUUAAUUUUUUUUUAUCCAUUUUUUUUAAAUUUCUAGUAUAUCUUCUUUUAUCUGUAAAGCACUUUGAGUUGCCUUGUGUAUCAAUUGUGCUAUACAAAUAAACUUGCAGUGCCAUUUAUGCAGUUCCCCAAAACGUUAUGUACAACUCCAUGGUUUCAAAAACUCUGCUCUCACUAACUCUCCAUGGCGACAGCCGAUAGUGCACGCAAAAUCCUUGUUUAAGAGGACGGUCCGCACCACUUUUGCUCAAUUUUUCAGUUUGCACACACAAUUUAGCUUGCUCGCUAUUUUGGAUCUUAGUAGAUCAGACCCUAUAGCUUCAAGUUCAGAUUGAACUUCAGCAUCAGGAGCACCUCACUGAGAUAUAAGGUAUUUAAAAAAAGCUUCAUGUUAUCCAAACUUUUUGUUGAAAAUGUAAAAUGUGCUUCAGAUCAUGCUUAUCAUCUGUUCCUGCCCCACUUUUUGCACCUCUGAUGAACCACAGUACACAGACUUUAACUGAGUCAGGGAAACGACUGAAGACAGCAGACAGAGGAGCUCUGCACAAAUGUCCCCGAUCUGAGGCAGAGCUAGAAGUUUCAUCAGUGAAUA